GGAAGAGAAAAAACAAUUAUACUUGUGAAAUGAAACCUAUAAUUAGCAAAGGUAUACAUAUAAAUUCACCCAAUCAGUGUGACAGAAGUCCUACACUUGGAAGCCCCGCCAGAUACUGACCAAGAGUCAAGAGGUCGCCAUCGCUACUGACGACGCUAUAGUAAGUAAGUAAGUAAAAAAAAAAAA